UUUCCAGUUGUGCUUUCCAGCUCGGCCGGGGCAGAGGCAGCAGCACCAAGGCAGGCCAGCCCCUGCUGCUGGAGCUGGCAGCUCUGCAGGCAGAGUUUGCUCAGCCCGGGGCUGAAGGAGCCGCUGGCAGGGGCAGCAGCUCCUCUGCAGGGAGCAGAGUCCAGCGGCAGCCCGGGGAUCGCUACCAUGCCCCAAGGAGCUCCGCGGACCGGGACAGCAGCGCCGGGACAGCCGCAGGGACAGACGGGGACGGAGCUCCGCAGGACUCCCGGCAGCCCUCCCGGAGCAGAGUGAAGAGCAAAGUGGAGCUGGGAGCCAGCUCACGAGGACACCUUUGGGUGGGGACCUUGCUGUUACAGCCCAGUGUCACAGGGAGCUGCCAGCUCAGAUUGUCUUGCAUGGACAGGACAGUUAAAAAGCUAGAGAAGCCACGUGAGGUCCCAUGAAAACCAGAACCAACUACUUAUAAAGUGCUGCUGCCUCUGACCAAGAACAAAAAUUGUUGUGGGAAUAAUAUGCGAACAGCUGCCACUGGGACUGUCACAACUGCUCUGCAGAGAUGCCAUCCCUCACUGGAGUUUGCCAGCCAGUGGUACAGAUCCUAUCAUGAAGAACUCUGUGGCACCAGUUAUGGAUCUUUUUGUCUAAAUGGAGGGAUUUGUUAUAUGAUUCCUGCUGUAUCCAGUCCAUUCUGCAGGUGUGUUGAGAAUUACACAGGAGCUCGUUGUGAGGAAGUUUUGCUGCCCAGCAUCAAAUCCCAAACAAAAGGUGACCUGUUUGCAGCUUUCUUGGCUUCCCUUCUUCUUCUAGGAGUUCUUGUAAUUGGAGCAUUCUACUUCCUUUGCAGGAAAGUUUCCAUUCCAAGGACAAGUUCUUCAGAGUGUGGUGCCAACCUAGUUGAAACUACAAGCAGCAAUGGCUGCAACAAAAUAACAACAGCCUAAAGCAUUAGAGUGGAAGAAUGGUGGAGAAACAAAAUGCAGAGCAACCCCUGAAUCUAAAUUGUAGAGGCUGACAUGGGACAGGCCACUGUUGUGCAGAGUUCAAGAGAUGGGCAGCAGCACUGCCAGCUACACCAGAAUCAGCAUUACCUGAAAUAUUUUGCACAGCCUCGGUGAAAAUUAAUCCGAGAUGACACCUGGUAGAUCACUUUGCUGUGUUAGCGAUCAUAGGACAGUCAGGCUCACAGCUUGGUACACUGUCUCCACUGAAGAAGGAAAAGGCUUGUGGUCUCAGGAAGGAGAUACUAAUAGAAGAUAUAAGAAAUAAAUGGACUGAAGUUAUUCUGUAUAAGCUCUUUGAAUCCUCUCAGCUUUCUAGACAGACAUGGAAUAAUCAUUGUUACUGAGCUUGUUUGCAUUAUUUGGGAAACAAUCUGUACGAAAAGUGGGGCUGAAUAAACUGAUGCCAUGUUUAAAUGUGAACAAGCUGAUUGAUGAAUCACUGUUAUCUGUGAAGGAAAUGCUAUUAGCAGUUCAGACCGCCUCAAGCCCAUUGCAUCUGAGAACAUUUCAGCUUCCAAAAUUAUUUCAGUUCACAAACUUUGUGACUAGGGUGUUCAAGUCAAAAUGGCAUCAGGCUACAAAUUCAUUUUAAGGUGGUCAAAUGUCACAGAAAGUACAGGGUAGCCAACAUUAUAUAUAAUUUAGUAAAAUAGUGCAACACUCUUUAGCAAUGAUGCUUACAAAAUUAAUGAAGUAGUCCUGUGAGCAAUUAAGGAAACUCCAGUUCCAAUGGAUCAGAUCUUGUGGCUGGAGUCACUGGAGUCUUAAAAAUCAUUACAUGUUUAUAAAAGGGUGAGUAAUAAGGGCUCUCUCUGGUCUGUUUGACUCCCAUUUUCUUGAAACAGAUAAUCUCAUCUCUUUGAAAUUACCUCUCCACCACCUGAAAGGUUAUGUAGGGAAGAAACUGGAAAACACUAAUUUCCCAAGAAACUCCAUUACUAUAAUUAGACAACAAUCUAUUAGAGUGUUAUGGAAAAAAUUCUUUUAUGCCUGGGGAUCAUGUUAUCCUGCCAGAACCUUGUAGUAAAAGUCUCUUCAUAAUAUAUUGCAAAAAACUUUUGAUCACUUGCAGAACUGACAGCCAUUAGCAGGAAAUCUCUUUAUAGACCUAUAAGUAAAAGAGCUUGCUUCUAUGUUACUCAGUAUAGAAUUGUUUUUCAUUAGCAGCCCAAACAAACACUGGAGCAAAGUACAGUUAAAGUUACAGUUAAAGAGAGUCAAAUGGCUUUUCAAAAAAAAAAGGAGGAUUUCUCUGUGCUGCAUAGUCUUUUGAUUUAUAAUGUUAAAUAUUAGGCAGAAAAACCAACAGAAGUCCAUUUGGUAGCACUCCCCAUUUUAAAGAUAACUUCAAUGUUGUGUAACUCCUUCAAAAUUUACUGCACUAAAAGAAAACAUUUUCCUUCUGGCUCUGAAUUUUUGAAGAGCUGUAGAGAGGCUCUGAUUGUGUAACUCAGUUAUUUGAAACUGUAAAGCGAAGAAGAAAUGCAGGCUAGAACUUCUCACAGCGGAAAUGGUCAUUAUUCUGAGUUUUCUGCUUAUGCUUAUCCAAGCCUUUCUUGCUCUCCUGGCAACUGCAGCCUGUUCAACAUAAUCUGUAUGUAAGGCAAGAGAUCCAUUUCAUGAUAGCAGAGCAGGCAAUGCAAACCCUGUGAAAUACCAAUAGUCAGGCUGCUGCUCAGUUCCAUCUUUGACACUGAUACUCCACUAAACCUUUCAGCAGGAAUUAUUUCUAGAGCUGCAGAACCUGAAACAACAAGAAGAUACUGCUGGUUUUGGUCCCCAGAUUAAAGCCACAACCAACUUUUACACUUUUUAAUGCACCUCUAUGUCAGUUUCUGUACCAUUUAAAAACAUUUCCAGCGCACAUUAAAAGAGACUGUUUUCAAAUUAUCCUCUCAAUGCAAGUAAUUUUUUAUCUAAACUUCUGUGCAGGCAAACAAUGGGUUGUAAAAAUCUGGGUGAGCUUUCAGUGGUGGCGUUUUUUAAGAAGGCUCACUUGAGUCUAUGUUGUACAGUCUCCAUCACAGAGUUUGCUGCCAUUCAGGUAUUUUCACCAGUUCUGAAGAUUCUAAGCGAGUUGGUCUUUUGAGAGGAUUAUUGUUUGCUGUCAGCAUUGCCAUAUUGACAACUCAGCUAAGAUGCAUUUAUUUCCAAAAAAGCUUUUCUAACUCUCAUAGCUGUGAAAAUUUAUCAUGGAAAGGUGACAUGACCUGCCACUGAGUAGUGAUGUGAAUCUCUGAAACAUUAAUUUUCAGAAUUUUGUGCUACCUGCUCAGGGAAGAUGUACCUGUGAGAUGUAGUGAUGACAAUUUAGACAUUGUAGUUCAAAAGCAUUUAGAAGCACAAAUCCCAACGACUUGGGAAUAAAUGUUUUUCACCUAAAUAAUCAAAGCACUUGGAAAAAAAAAAUCUAAUUAGUUAUUUCUCUGCUGAUAAUUCUAGUAUAAGUGUCCAGGUGAUAUCACUUCCAAAUAAUCCAAACGUUUCCUUUGAGUUUCCAAUUUCUCACUGUAGCUGUAAGUUCUCUUUAGAAUAAUACCCCACACUGUCCUGAAGUGCUGGUAGGCAUGGAAUAAUCAAUUAAAAGGCCCUACAAUCUUUAAACUUCUAUUUGUUUGACCUAAACCAGUAGUACAGGACCAAUGCACACCAGCAGCAGAAGCAAGCUUGGCUUACCUGGCUGCACACCUUGGAGCCUGCAGUUCAGAAGCCCCUCAAGGCUAACCUGGAGUCCUGCUGAAACAGCCUCUCCUGAAGCUUGUGUCUGGCUGAGCCAUGGGCUUAGCAACAGGAAAAACUGCAGAUGAUAAUUAGACUCAAUGUGUUACCUCCAUUUGUUUGCAGGACACACAACUGCUGUAUUAAGUGGAUUUUAGAGGUCCACCAGAGAUUCAUAAAGUAAAAAAAAAAAAUUCUCCAUCACAAAAUCAUGAAAACUAAUCAGACAGUGGAGGAAAUCAUUACUUUCUUAAUCUUUGCAGAGUGCUCAGAGACUAUAAGAGAUGCUAUAAAACACAACUUAACUGUACAUUUAAGAUCUUUGUAACUUCUAACUAUGCAAACUUCAAUACUUCAAAUGUUAUUUUCCUCUGUCAUUCUGUUGAGUAAAACAGAAUUAGGGAUCCAAAUGACAAAUGUUUUUUGCUUGUUCUCUCACAGGGCCAAACACCAAAAAACUCAAUUCCAAUUUCUGAUAUGAAAGCUAACAACCCCCACCACAGUUACUUCUAGCAGAAAGAAGUUCUCCAUUUUUAGAAAGAAAAAUAGAAACUAAGAGGGGGUAAUGACACUGAGUGAGUUUUGAGGUAAAUUUUUAACUAGAAAUUAAUUCAGAAUCAUAUGUUCUUAGAAGUUUUACUCCUCUUUAUCAAUUUAUUCUUGCUUUAUUAUGACUGCAUGUUACAGAAACAUCCUAUAAUGAAGAGAUCUUUGGAUGGUAACUUUAAAGUAAAAGUGAUAGCAGUAAUAGCUUUAUGUUUGGUAGUUGCUACUUUGGUUGUGUGAGUACAAGGUUAUACAUCACACUGCUUGCCUAUUAUUUUUUGUGUUUUUGAAACCUACAGACCAAUUAAUUGAAUGAUGCAUCAACAACAAAUGUGCAGCAAAGCAUUCAUAUUCAAAACACUGGAAAAAACAAUGUCUUUACCUUUUGUAAACAAAACUAUCACUUCUCCUUGCAGGUCUUGUAACUUUGCAAGUUUUACUUUUUUUGUAACAAAGACAAAAUCCAGUUGUGGUUGCUUAGGGACUCUAUUCUCUUGCUGGAAACACGUUCCUGUCAGCACUGUAACUGCAGAUAAACCUUAUCUUUAGGUAUCUUUCGACUAGUCCUGCUAUUUACAUUUGCCUCAAUCGCUGAAUACUCAUUUAAGUACCUCUACCCACUUUAAAACUUCAUGCUUGCUUCUUUUGAGUGACAGAAGU